CUAAUCUGUGCUGCCAUUUUGGGCAUUGGCAUAUAUGAAGCUACAUCUUUGGACCAUGUUGGGAAAGAUUCUUUGCAAAAUUCAGGUCUGUCCAGUGCAGUUUUUGAGGAUCAGAUUCAGAUAUCUCCACUCCCAACUUAAAAACAAUUUAAUCGGGCUACCGUUGCAUUAAUGUGGAUCUGUAAAAGAGGCGGCAAGAGUAUUUAUAAACCUUUGCAGUACCCAAAAUUUUUCACAAGAUGCAAAGAAGAAAUGUGCAAGCAGAUUCUUGGCUGUUGGGGCCACUGGAAAUUUCCAAGCUGAUUGAGAAUGGCAUCAUAGAUUCAUAGGUCUUAGUAAGGAUGUUGAGGGGUUGAUUACUGUGUAUAGAUCGUUACUCUCAAGUUCAUGGUCUCUUCAAUAAAACACCCAUUUUUCCUUUUUGGAGUCUUCUAUAAAUCAUUGCUGCGACUGUGAGCUCUCUUGUCAACCGUCGCACGAAUCAGUUGAAAGGAUUUUUAUGCGUAACGUUUGGUAUGCUGAAUUGGACAUUAUUAGAUCAGAGAAACUUAUCAAUUUUCUACA